rnacentral:rRNA from 1 species
AAUACUUAGGAAUCUGCCCAUUAAUGGGGGACAACAGUUGGAAACGACUGCUAAUACCGCAUACGCCCUACGGGGGAAAGCAGGGGAUCUUCGGACCUUGCGUUAAUGGAUGAGCCUAAGUCGGAUUAGCUAGUUGGUGGGGUAAAGGCCUACCAAGGCGACGAUCUGUAGCGGGUCUGAGAGGAUGAUCCGCCACACGGGGACUGAGACACGGCCCAGACUCCUACGGGAGGCAGCAGUGGGGAAUAUUGGACAAUGGGGGGAACCCUGAUCCAGCCAUGCCGCGUGUGUGAAGAAGGCCUUUUGGUUGUAAAGCACUUUAAGCGAGGAGGAGGCUACUAGUAUUAAUACUACUGGAUAGUGGACGUUACUCGCAGAAUAAGCACCGGCUAACUCUGUGCCAGCAGCCGCGGUAAUACAGAGGGUGCGAGCGUUAAUCGGAUUUACUGGGCGUAAAGCGUGCGUAGGUGGCCAAUUAAGUCAAAUGUGAAAUCCCCGAGCUUAACUUGGGAAUUGCAUUCGAUACUGGUUGGCUAGAGUAUGGGAGAGGAUGGUAGAAUUCCAGGUGUAGCGGUGAAAUGCGUAGAGAUCUGGAGG